rnacentral:rRNA from 1 species
AAUGAACGCUGGCGGCAUGCCUUACACAUGCAAGUCGAACGGCAGCAUGACCUAGCUUGCUAGGUUGAUGGCGAGUGGCGAACGGGUGAGUAAUGCAUCGGAACGUGCCUUUUAGUGGGGGAUAACGUAGCGAAAGUUACGCUAAUACCGCAUAUUCUCUGAGGAGGAAAGCAGGGGACCUUCGGGCCUUGCGCUAGAAGAGCGGCCGAUGUCGGAUUAGCUAGUUGGUGAGGUAAAGGCUCACCAAGGCAACGAUCCGUAGCGGGUCUGAGAGGAUGAUCCGCCACACUGGGACUGAGACACGGCCCAGACUCCUACGGGAGGCAGCAGUGGGGAAUUUUGGACAAUGGGCGCAAGCCUGAUCCAGCCAUGCCGCGUGAGUGAAGAAGGCCUUCGGGUUGUAAAGCUCUUUCGGCUGGGAAGAAAUAGCACCCUCUAAUACAGGGUGUGGAUGACGGUACCAGCAUAAGAAGCACCGGCUAACUACGUG